ensembl:lncRNA
AAAAGUGUAAUUAUGACCUAUAGCUUGGAACCUCAUAACAACACUUAUUUGUCAAAAGCUAUCCGAACAGGAAGGUCUUUGCCUGCCAGUAUAUGGACAAGAAGAUCGGAGACAACCUGGCAUAGUGAAUAUUCAAGAGUCUUGGACCAGCCGCUGGAAAGGCCCUCACUCAUGUCCUCUGGUGAUACCACAGACCAUCACAAACAGGUGGGUCCUAGAUGAAAUCAAGGGGACCAGCCACUGGAAAGGCCCUCACUCAUGUCCUCAGGUGAUACCACAGACCAUCAGAGAGACAAACAGGCUGCAGACAGCUCUCCCUUCUUUUGGAAAAGGCCAGCCAGAAAACCUGAGACAACCAGAGAAAAUUGGGACCAUAGCUGAAGGAAAAGUGGAUUGGCAAAGUUUCCUCAAGUUCUGGACACUUGAUGAAAACAGUUCUGCUCCUGCCCCCCAAUGCCAAACUGCAAAAUAAGGUAAGCCCCAAAGCGGUCUUCUCUGCUCUAACCUGACAAGACCUGAUCACUCUGAAUUAGUGCUUCAUCUCCUCCCUGAAUAACACUAACCUAGUAACUUUUUUAAAAAAUUAAGGAUUAUUUUUUACAAGAGAUAUCAGCUGUAUGGGUCUAUGAGCCUAAAAGAAAUAAUGGCGAACCAUCACACAGCACCCCACUGAAGAUACCAGGUCACCCUCGAUGUGAUCAGGAUAUACCCCCUCACUGCUCCAGAAGACUGAUACAGGAGAUCACAUAAACCAGAAAGCAAGAUGGAACAAUGUGAGCAGGAACAACAAAACAAAACAAAAGCUCUGCCUACUGAACAAAAUAUACCAAAUACCCAUGGGAAAAAGACUAGGUCUUCUCAUGAUUAGGUUUAUAUCAUGUAAUUGAUGGGGGAGGGUGUCGAAAUUAACAGUGAGAAUUGCAGUACAAGCAGCAAGGCGAAUGUUUGUCUAGUUGUACCCUGAAUCCAUUACUUCAGGGCCUACCCUCUGGGGCUACAGAAAACAAGCUCACUUAAUCUUCCAAAUGACAGCCCUUCAAAUAUUUAAAAAUGGCUAUUAUAUCGCCUCUCAGUCUUCUUAUCUCCUGGCAGAAUAUACCUAGUACUCAAUUGUUCCUCAUCAGACUUAGUUUCCAGAACUUUUACCAUUCUGGCUGCUCUCAUCUGGACAUGUGGGAAAUGAGGAAAACCAGGUACACGUCUGUUUUAUGAAUGUAUUGUUUGAAUGUGGUACUCACGUGAGUUCUGUUGGUCUUGUUGGGGAUGUGAAAAUGUUCUUCCUUGUUUUAAUGGCUAGCUGCCUAUUGGUUUCGCCCAUCCUUCCUUUGCCUUCAUCUUAGUCUUUUGCUUUCCAGUGACCCUGACUGUGUUGUGGGCAGGCCAAAUUGUCCAGACCAUCUGUUCCUUUGGAAGACCUUUCAAGAACUAACGAGAGUGGGUCUUCCGUAUUGGCUGAACAUAACUAAAUGAAUCAAGUUAUGUGAUUGUUCUGAAUAACAGUGAAACGACUGCAUCAACUUCUGAAGCAAACCUGCAGGUCUACACAGUGCCUGUCAUACUGCACAACACCUCAGGGGCUUGGAUGGAAUGGCAAAAAAAUAAAAUAAAAAUACCAUAUUUCUUUUUUUUGUAG